GGCAAGAUGAUGGGCUCCCGGAAGAGCGAACCGCAGACGGGGCAUUUCAGCUCUUCUUCCAUAGCUGCGGCUGCUUUGUGUCCAGACAGCGGAGUAGGGCGGAUGGAAGCGAUCAACACGAAGGCGGCAAGCUACGAUGUCGGAAAGGAAUCCGAUUUCAGCACUCAGGAGGCGUUGGACAGGUCCUCGUGGGAGAGAGAGAGACGAGUUCAGCACCGCGGCAUGUAUGGACAGCGUUUUCGGCGAGCGGUUGAGCA